rnacentral:misc_RNA from 1 species
UCGAUGCCUUACAUGCAGACCAACUCGUGAAUUUGUUUGAAUACAUAGGGAUGGCACGGGUGUUUUGGCACCACGACCUCCCUUUGGGUAGGAGGGGGUGCGUCCCCCUCUUGCCUGAACACAAACCCCGGCGUUCAAUGCGCCAAGGAACUAAAAUUCGAUCAAUGCGCCCCGUCGGCCCGGAGACGGUGCUCUGGCGGUAGUGCCUUGUCACAUGAUAC